UACGUAGGGGGCAAGCGUUGUCCGGAAUUAUUGGGCGUAAAGAGCGUGUAGGCGGCCAGAUAAGUCCGCUGUGAAAUCUCGAGGCUCAACUUCGAGCUGUCGGUGGAAACUAUCUGGCUAGAGUCCGGAAGAGGAGAAUGGAAUUCCCAGUGUAGCGGUGAAAUGCGCAGAUAUUGGGAAGAACACCAGUGGCGAAGGCGGUUCUCUGGGACGGUACUGACGCUGAGACGCGAAAGCGUGGGGAGCGAACAGG
rnacentral:rRNA from 1 species